UACUUUUAGCUAUAUUGCUUCUUGGCUAAGAUAAAAUCAUUUCAUGAGAUUGAACAAUGCAGAACUGGGUAGAAAAUACAUAACAUUUCCUUUCAAAAAAUAUAUACAUUAGUGGUUUCAUUUCCCAUUGGCAAAAUAUCGUGGCCCUGCCAAACAUUUGUGCAUCGAAAACAUCUCACGCACAAAGACUAAAUAAAUAUACCACAAAUCAGAUAGGCAUUUGAGAUUUGCUUCAGAGCUAGUAAUGAUUCUUCUUAGUUGCCCACAUCAUAGCUCACUGCUUAUAUUCAUGGCGAAGAUAACAAAUAAUCACCUCCAUUAACAGGAACAGAGUGCUGGCAUUUGAAAAGUGGAAACAUAGUAGUGUGUAAGAGUUUAUGACAGUGAGGACAUAAAUUGCCAAUUUAGUUUGUCCCAUAUUUCUACACAUAAAACCCGAACCCCUGCUACAUUUAGUGAAGGCAAUAUUAUACAACAAUUAGCAUGAAAAAAAGUUUCAUGAUAAAAUAAAAUGGUGAUGCAAUUUUGACUUAAUAAGGCAAGACCAGUCAGGGAGAAAGCUUUCAAAGUUAGCACGAUGAUGAACUUUUGGUCAAUAAUUGAACAUGGCAAUUCAUAAGCAUAUUAUGCAUUCUAGUUAAUAUUGCAGGUCUAUAAUAUUCAUGGUUUGGGAAGUCAGGAUAACCUGUUCCGGAACAAAGGCAUGUACGUAAACCGAACAAAUAUGACAAUGAACAGAGAAUGGUGAAAUAAAUCUUACUGAUUCCGCAAAGCUGAACAUAAUUAGAUUAAAGGUGUUGAACUGAAGUUGUUCUACAGGAGUCAAAGAAUAACGAUCUGUAAGGAUAAAUAAAGGAGGGCAUGUUCUUACUUCUAUAGAAUUGAAUGAAGAUUUUCUUCAAAGGUGGUAAUGAUUCUUCUUAGUUGCCCACACCAUAGUACUAUUUUUAGGUCCAUGCAAGACUAAGAGAAUUGAAAGGAAAAAAGGUUGAUCAUCCUUCGACUAUUUUUGCAUCAUCUUCCUUCAACUACUCAGACCUACACUUGUCAACACUCUCGGGUUCGCAUAUAUGCGGAAGUAAAUCACACCAUUAAAACAUGAGAAUGAUUGGAAGAGAACUAAUCCAGAAAAAAGCUUUCUUUACCCCGUACCUGCAAACAUCAAGAUAUUUUGACUAUUCUAAAAUAUGUUCAAACCACAUCAGUAAUUAAAAAUAGAAGAUGUAUUGAACAACAAAGAAGAUUAUGGACAUCAUCCCAUCAAAAGAGAUUUUUGCAUUUUGUAAGACUUCUUCAGAGGUCUUCAGCAAGGGGCAAUACUGUGUGUGCAAAUUUAUGCAAUCAUACAAACAAAAUGGCGCAGCAAGAGUUACCUUUAGUGGAUAGUCACAAAGAAAUUCAGUAACAUUAGUGAUUCAACCUGCUGGAGCAAAUAUGCAGCUUGAAAGUAGUAUUUGGAAUCUCGGGUGUACCUAUAUAUGCUCUUUAGUCUUGACUGUUGGUGUAUCUUCUCAUUAUAGCAGAUCAUAUGCAGUUGUCUUGAAAAACUGUUUGAAGCAACAACUCUCCUCCUCCUGACCAUGCCAACACUUUCGUUGGCCGCUGCUACUACUUGUUGCAGUGCAGCCUAAUUGAUUAGGUGGGUGGUGAUGCUAGUGCGUGGGAUAGGUGGCCGCCAAGCUCUGCAUCGAAGGAAAAGAAGAGACAUAUCAAGUGGCAUGGGUAAGCGAGGAGGGGUAGAGUAUUAAUGUUCAGAGAAGAUGUUAC
rnacentral:lncRNA from 1 species